AUGAAAAAGAAAAUGUGUGAGACCGAUGUAGAGAAGCCUAAAACAGCCAUACAGGCAAAGCAAACCAGGAUUAAAGAGGCAGCCAGGGACCAGGUGUUACAAAACCUGAAGACUUCCCUGUCUCAGAAGAGGGCCCUGGACACACAAGAUCACCUCUACAAUUCUAAGAAUGAAUCUCCACAAUGUGUUCAUGGGGGAAAACGAGCAAAGAUUAACAAGGCAGCAAGACGUGUGCUUUUACCCCUGGAAUCCAGUCCAAGUUCUGAUAAUGCCACAUACAUAGGAAGUCCAGAACAGCAUGACCUUGUAAGUCAUACUUCUUUCCCAGCUGUUGUGUACUCUCAGACAAAAAUUCUUUCUCUAUUGGAUUGCUUUUCACAGCUAUUUUCUUAAUUAACUUUUUAAAGUUUCAAGACCAUGCCUCAGAUGAAGAAUUGGGUUUCUCCUCAACUCAGAGAAUGGCAAGUACAUUUAUAUUGAAUAUUAUAUUCUAAUGGUGAAAUUAUAUUAUAUUGAAAGAAUAGGUCAGGCAAAGGUCAGAGAUCUUACAACCAACUGCAUGGAAAACUUCAUCUCACAAUUGUUACAUAUCUUAUUUUCACAUAUAAACUCCUUUUGGCUGUCAUGUGCAUGCCUUUUAAGCAUAAUGUAUUUCAUUAACUUUUAUUUAAUAUAUUCAACAAUAUAAUCAUUUUCAAAAACCUUUCAUUAAUGUUUUGUCCCUCACGGUAGUGUGGAUUAGAAGAGUGUCCUUUAAACAUACUGUAUUUCCUUUGAGAAAUAAAGUAUAGAAGUCAAAAGCA
ensembl:lncRNA